CAGAGGUCCCAAGCGUUGUUCGGAUUCACUGGGCGUAAAGGGUGCGUAGGCGGUCGGAUAAGUCUGAUGUGAAAUCUUCGAGCUCAACUCGGAAACUGCAUCGGAAACUAUUCGGCUAGAGGAUUGGAGGGGAGACUGGAAUUCUCGGUGUAGCAGUGAAAUGCGUAGAUAUCGAGAGGAACACCAGUGGCGAAGGCGAGUCUCUGGACAAUUCCUGACGCUGAGGCACGAAAACUAGGGGAGCAAACAGGAUUAGAUACCCUGGUAGUCCUAGCCCUAAACGGUGCACGUUUGCUGUAAGAGGAAUCGACCCCUUUUGUGGCGAAGCUAACGCGUUAAACGUGCCGCCUGGGAAGUACGGCCGCAAGGUUA
rnacentral:rRNA from 1 species